rnacentral:lncRNA from 1 species
AUGAGAACGAUAAUGCUUGGUUGAUGAGAGUGCAAGACAAACCAAAUGAGAACGAUAAUGCUUGGUUGAUGAGAGUGCAAGACAAACCAAAUAAAAAUGGUAAUGCUUGGUUGAUGAGAGUGCAAGACAAACCAAAUGAGAACGAUAAUGCUUGGUUGAUGAGAGUGCAAGACAAACCAAAUGAGAACGAUAAUGCUUGGUUGAUGAGAGUACAAGACAAACCAAAUGAGAA